UUGGGUGCCCAUGGCGCUGGGGAAAUACCUGUUCUCAUUCCGAACACAGAAGUCAAGCCCAGUAGCGGCGAUUAUACUGCGAAAGCGGGAAACUAGCACGGUGCUCAAU
rnacentral:rRNA from 1 species